rnacentral:rRNA from 1 species
UAGGGAAUCUUCGGCAAUGGACGGAAGUUUGACCGAGCAACGCCANGUGAGUGAAGAAGGUUUUCGGAUCGUAAAGCUCUGUUGUAAGAGAAGAACGAGUGUGAGAGUGGAAAGUUCACGCUGUGACGGUAUCUUACCAGAAAGGGACGGCUAACUACGUGCCAGCAGCCGCGNUAAUACGUAGGUCCCGAGCGUUGUCCGGAUUUAUUGGGCGUAAAGNGAGCGCAGGCGGUUAGAUAAGUCUGAAGUUAAAGGCUGUGGCUUAACCAUAGUAGGCUUUGGAAACUGUUUAACUUGAGUGCAAGAGGGGAGAGUGGAAUUCCAUGUGUAGCGGUGAAAUGCGUAGAUAUAUGGAGGAACACCGGUGGCGAAAGCGGCUCUCUGGCUUGUAACUGACGCUGAGGCUCGAAAGCGUGGGGAGCAAACAGGAUUAGAUACCCUGGUAGUCCACGCUGUAAACGAUGAGUGCUAGGUGUUAGACCCUUUCCGGGGUUUAGUGCCGUAGCUAACGCAUUAAGCACUCCGCCUGGGGAGUACGACCGCAAGNUUGA